AUCACAAAGAACAUUGGAAAGGAGAGGUGAAGAUUACUUUGAUAUUUUGUCUGUGCGAUCAUUUUUCCAAGAAUUUCAUACAGUUSGUGAAAAGACAUAUUGGUGCAAGAUGCAUGAUUUGGUACACGAUUUUGCUCAACUUCUCACGGAAAGGGAAUGCUAUGUAUUAGACAUUGGCAACAACAUCACGCAAGAGCYGAGGUACAAAGAUGCCCGCCACAUAACUUWWAUAGGAAAUGAUGAUGAUGAUGGUAAUGAUCUGARGGAGAAGACCAUCCCCUUGUCCAUUUACAAGGCAAUGAAGCUAAGAACUCUACAACUCCCUCAAAAAGUWUGUGGAUUCUCCGGUUUAAUCGAUAAAUUAACAUGUCUAAGGGCAUUAGMUYUGGGAGGCACUUGUCUUMARGAAUUACCAAGCAAGAUAGAGAWGUUGAUACAUCUAAGAUACCUUAAUUUAUCWGAUACSGAACUGAAAGAWUUGCCWGAAACAUUGAGUAAUCUACAUAAUUUGCAGAUUUUGGAGCUUAAUWAUUGUUCAAAGCUUUGCAAAAUUCCCAAAGGAAUUGGAAAAUUGACUAAAAUGAGACACCUUGAAAUURAGGGUACURAAARUUUGCACUACUUACCAAGAAGCAUUGGUAGAUUAAGUUCCCUGUGCACAUUAUCUAAAUUCAUYAUAGGUGGGGGUGGAGGGGRAUGUACAAUUAAGGAACUAAAUGACCUCAAGUUCCUUCAAGGGGAACUAGAAAUAAGUGGAUUGGGAAGAGUAAAAAGUGAAAAUGAGGCUAAUGUUGCAGACUUAAAGAACAGAGAAAACAUGAGCAACCUGGWAUUACGCUUUGAUGGCCAUGAUGRUGAAGAUGACAACUUGAAAGAGAGGAAGAUGGARASCGUACUUGAGGGUCUCCAACCACACAAAAACUUGAAGGAGUUGACAAUAUAUGGUUACAUGGGGAACAAGUUAGCAAGUUGGAUGGUGAGAGAUGAUGGGUUGCCUAAUCUCCGGUUUCUGCGCUUAUAUGCAUGUAAAAAUUUGUGCAAGUUGCCCCCUUCUCUGGGAAAUCUACCAUUUCUUAGACGUCUAUGGAUAGGUGGUAUGGAUAAAAUAAAACACAUGGACAUCCAUAUGUUUUUCGGAGUCGAUUGGGCUGAUGUUGCUCAAACCGGUGAUGGGGCUAAGAAAGCAUUCCCAAAUUUAGGCAGCCUUCAAAUCGGUGGAAUGAAAAAUUUGGAAGAUUGGGAUCUUGGUAUGGGAGAAUUUGAUGGUAGAGAAACGAAUUCCAUUACUUUCAUGCAACAUCUUUGUGAUUUGAAUCUUUCUGAUUGCCCUAAGUUAAAAGUGCUGCCCCCUCUCAUUUUCUAUAAAAAAGCAGCACUGCAUAUAAGAGAUUGUCCUCAGUUGACUUGGACACCAUCCUCAUCUGGACUUCUACAACACCUUCACCGUUUGGACUUAAUUGGGAAUGCAGAAGCAUUUUUAAGGUCAAUACCAUCAGAUAAUAAGAUCGAUGAUUUAACAAUACGGUUCUCACCUAUCAAGUCACUUCACAAUGUUUUUGGGAAGUUUCACACACUCGAAGAGUUGUCUAUCAUUCGUUGCGAGUACAUUGAUUCUAUACCUGACGAGUUGCAGCAUCUCUCCUCGCUACAAAAAUUGUAUAUCUAUAAAUGCCCUCUACUGGAAGAACGUGGCAGAAAGGAAGUAGGAGAGGACUGGAAGAAUAUAUGCCACAUCCCCCACAUUGAAAUCAAUGGAAGAAGAAUCCAAUGACAGAUUCAGCAGCAAAGCAGCAUCAAUUAUGACUAAAGGUGCAUUUUUUUGAGGUGCUUAUUAAGCUUUGAAUCGAAGGUUGGAUGUGAUCUCAUUGAUUAGUGAUGGAUAAUAAGAAUGGAAACCCCACGUUUGGAGGACUAUCAACCGACUCAAUCAGACUACGACAUGUCACUCCACAGCCCAUUUACGGCACACAGAGGAUUAGAUAGAAAUGCAAAUUUAAAGAAGAUUUAGAUUCAUGGACCCAAACUUGCCAAAUCUCUGAGUUGGUUUAUUAAAUUGUUGCUUCCUCCAAGUACUGAAAAGCAUGGUUUGAGAUGCUCUGGUGGUGACUCAUCUUCAGCAGCUUGCGUAGCCGCCAUCAACUCAUACUAUUCCUAGGAACAAAAAUGAAGUGUUGAAAUCUAAUGGGAUAUUUUGGGAGGCUCCUUAUUGGUGGGGAAAUCAUUAUUGUGACAACAAACAGGGAAAGCAAAUUUCCAAAGCAUAAUCUGUCUUCAAUGGACGUAGUUGCCUGUAAACCUGCCAUCUUUUUUCUUUUUUGAUUUAAAAUUCAACACAUAGAAAAUGUCGUCCAAUCAAUUUGUGGGCACUGGGCAGUCAUGGGUGAGAGUGUCAAAUGGAGGAACGCGGAUAUUGACUGUUAAUCUGGUUCAUUGAUACCUGUAUUUUUAUCUACUAUCAAUUGACUGAAUACUGAUUUAAUCAAACCCAAUCCAAUAUAAAUUCAUUA